rnacentral:rRNA from 1 species
UACGGGAGGGCUAGCGUUGCCGCGAAUCACUGGGCGUAAAGCUCACGUAGGCGGAUUGCUAAGUCAGGGGUGAAAUCCUGGAGCUCAACUCCAGAACUGCCUUUGAUACUGGCGACCUUGAGUCCGGGAGAGGUGAGUGGAACUGCGAGUGUAGAGGUGAAAUUCGUAGAUAUUCGCAAGAACACCAGUGGCGAAGGCGGCUCACUGGCCCGGUACUGACGCUGAGGUGCGAAAGCGUGGGGAGCAAACAGGG